rnacentral:misc_RNA from 1 species
AACGCACAUUGCGCCCUUUAGUAUUCUGAAGGGCAUGCCUGUUCGAGCGUCAUUAUCACGAAUCAAGCCUGGCUUGUUAUUGGACCUCUUGUCGGCAAAAGACAGGUCCCAAAGAUAAUGACGGUGUCAGUUGGACCCUAGAUGCAACGAGCUUUCACCAGCACGCAUGAUAGAGGCCUCUUGACCCGGUCUUUUUUAACCAAUUUCUAAGGUUGACCUCGGAUCAGGUAGGAAUACCCGCUGAACUUAA